rnacentral:rRNA from 1 species
GACAGAGGGUGCGAACGUUGUUCGGAAUUACUGGGCGUAAAGCGCAUGUAGGCGGCAGCGCAAGUCGGGCGUGAAAUCCCACGGCUCAACCGUGGAAGUGCACUCGAAACUGCGCAGCUAGAGUCCUGGAGAGGAAGGUGGAAUGCUUGGUGUAGAGGUGAAAUUCGUAGAUAUCAAGCGGAACACCGGUGGCGAAGGCGGAAUCGUCUGGACAGUUCCUGACGCUGAGGCGCGAAGGCCAGGGGAGCAAAGCGGG